rnacentral:lncRNA from 1 species
CCAAAGUCCACUGUGUUGGGAACACCAACUCCCAGGGUGGAGUUCCAUACACGCCAGGCCGGUGUGGUCUGUCCUUACAAAUACAUCACAGCCAUUCCUUCCAAGUGGAUUAAGCUGAACCUCUGACAUUGCCAUGUGCUGAGGCCAAAAUGUUCUAACACCAGCAGUUUCAUAUGAUUCAACCUAAACAGCAAACUCAUCUGUACCCUGUGCAAACUGACCUGAGUCUCAAUUUGAACCGAAGCUUAAGAGAACAGAGUUUAGAGUUAGAACAUCGGAGUUCAAGGCCUGGUUUUGCCGUUUUCUAGCUCUGCGAUCUUCAGCAAGUCACACGUAUUUCCAAGGCCUCGAUUUCUCCCUCUGCAAAAUGGCAAGAUGCUCAUCACAGGACCUACUUCACGGGACUGGCUUGGGACUUGAGAUAGCUUAAAUAAGAUUCCUCCUGGAUGGAUAGAACCCAAGCACGUGGGGAACCGCUGUGUGUUUGGAAAAACCUGCUGCAAAA